CCUACGGGAGGCAGCAGUAGGGAAUCUUCCACAAUGGGCGAAAGCCUGAUGGAGCAACGCCGCGUGGGUGAAGAAGGUCUUCGGAUCGUAAAACCCUGUUGUUAGAGAAGAAAGUGCGUGAGAGUAACUGUUCACGUUUCGACGGUAUCUAACCAGAAAGCCACGGCUAACUACGUGCCAGCAGCCGCGGUAAUACGUAGGUGGCAAGCGUUAUCCGGAUUUAUUGGGCGUAAAGGGAACGCAGGCGGUCUUUUAAGUCUGAUGUGAAAGCCUUCGGCUUAACCGGAGUAGUGCAUUGGAAACUGGGAGACGUGAGUGCAGAAGAGGAGAGUGGAACUCGAUGUGUAGCGGUGAAAUGCGUUGAUAUAUGGAAGAACACCAGUGGCGAAAGCGGCUCUCUGGUCUGUAACUGACGCUGAGGUUCGAAAGCGUGGGUAGCAAACAGGAUUAGAUACCCCUGUAGUC
rnacentral:rRNA from 1 species